UACGUAGGGCGCAAGCGUUGUCCAGAAUUAUUGGGCGUAAAGAGCUCGUAGGCGGCCAGUUGCGUCUGCUGUGAAAUCCCGGGGCUCAACCCCGGGCUUGCAGUGGAUACGGGCUGGCUGGAGGCAGGCAGGGGAGAACGGAAUUCCCGGUGUAGCGGUGAAAUGCGCAGAUAUCGGGAGGAACACCGGUGGCGAAGGCGGUUCUCUGGGCCUGUACUGACGCUGAGGAGCGAAAGCGUGGGGAGCGAACAGG
rnacentral:rRNA from 1 species